rnacentral:ncRNA from 2 species
GUUUUGUACGGUAAUGGAUUCUGCCGGGCAUCAAGCCAAACCGCUUCCCCGAUGAAGCUGAUGACUCCUACUCAGCG